rnacentral:rRNA from 1 species
GAUGAACGCUGGCGGCGUGCCUAGUACAUGCAAGUCGAGCGAACGGACGAGAAGCUUGCUUCUCUGAUGUUAGCGGCGGACGGGUGAGUAACACGUGGAUAACCUACCUAUAAGACUGGGAUAACUUCGGGAAACCGGAGCUAAUACCGGAUAAUAUUUUGAACCGCAUGGUUCAAAAGUGAAAGACGGUCUUGCUGUCACUUAUAGAUGGAUCCGCGCUGCAUUAGCUAGUUGGUAAGGUAACGGCUUACCAAGGCAACGAUGCAUAGCCGACCUGAGAGGGUGAUCGGCCACACUGGAACUGAGACACGGUCCAGACUCCUACGGGAGGCAGCAGUAGGGAAUCGUCCGCAAUGGGCGAAAGCCUGACGGAGCAACGCCGCGUGAGUGAUGAAGGUCUUCGGAGCGUAAAACUCUGUUAUUAGGGAAGAACAUAUGUGUAAGUAACUGUGCACAUCUUGACGGUACCUAAUCAGAAAGCCACGGCUAACUACGUG